rnacentral:rRNA from 1 species
UGCAGUCGAGCGGAACGAUCCUAGCUUGCUAGGAGGCGUCGAGCGGCGGACGGGUGAGUAAUGCAUAGGAAUCUGCCCGGUAGUGGGGGAUAACUUGAGGAAACUCAAGCUAAUACCGCAUACGCCCUACGGGGGAAAGCAGGGGCUCUUCGGACCUUGCGCUAUCGGAUGAGCUUAUGUCGGAUUAGCUGGUUGGUGAGGUAACGGCUCACCAAGGCGACGAUCCGUAGCUGGUCUGAGAGGAUGAUCAGCCACAUCGGGACUGAGACACGGCCCGAACUCCUACGGGAGGCAGCAGUGGGGAAUAUUGGACAAUGGGGGCAACCCUGAUCCAGCCAUGCCGCGUGUGUGAAGAAGGCCCUCGGGUUGUAAAGCACUUUCAGCGAGGAAGAAUGCUUGUCGGUUAAUACCCGGCAAGGGAGACAUCACUCGCAGAAGAAGCACCGGCUAACUCCGUGCCAGCAGCCGCGGUAAUACGGAGGGUGCGAGCGUUAAUCGGAAUUACUGGGCGUAAAGCGUGCGUAGGCGGCUUGAUAAGCCGGUUGUGAAAGCCCCGGGCUCAACCUGGGAACGGCAUCCGGAACUGUUAGGCUAGAGUGCAGGAGAGGAAGGUAGAAUUCCCGGUGUAGCGGUGAAAUGCGUAGAGAUCGGGAGGAAUACCAGUGGCGAAAGCGGCCUUCUGGACUGACACUGACGCUGAGGUACGAAAGCGUGGGUAGCAAACAGAUUAGAUACCCUGGUAGUCCACGCCGUAAACGAUGUCGACUAGCCGUUGGGGUCCUCGAGACCUUUGUGGCGCAGUUAACGCACUAAGUCGACCGCCCUGGGGAGUACGCCGCAAGGUUAAAACUCAAUGAAUUUGACGGGGCCCGCACAAGCGGUGGAGCAUGGUGGUUUAAUUCGAUGCAACGCGAGAACCUUACCUACUCUU